UACGUAGGGGGCGAGCGUUGUCCGGAUUUACUGGGCGUAAAGGGCGUGCAGGCGGUCUGCUAAGUCUAGGGUGAAAGCUCCCGGCUCAACUGGGGAGGGUCAUUCGAUACUGAUCGACUCGAAGGCAGGAGAGGGUAGUGGAAUUCCCGGUGUAGUGGUGAAAUGCGUAGAUAUCGGGAGGAACACCAGUGGCGAAGGCGACUACCUGGCCUGUUCUUGACGCUGAGGCGCGAAAGCUAGGGGAGCAACGGGGA
rnacentral:rRNA from 1 species